rnacentral:rRNA from 1 species
UACGGAGGGGGCUAGCGUUGUUCGGAAUUACUGGGCGGAAAGCGCACGUAGGCGGACUGUUAAGUCGGGGGUGAAAUCCUGGGGCUCAACCUCAGAAUUGCCUCCGAUACUGGCAGUCUCGAGUGCGGGAGAGGUGAGUGGAAUUCCCAGUGUAGAGGUGAAAUUCGUAGAUAUUGGGAAGAACACCAGUGGCGAAGGCGGCUCACUGGCCCGUAACUGACGCUGAGGUGCGAAAGUGUGGGGAGCAAACAGG